rnacentral:lncRNA from 1 species
AAUGGAGGAUAGAUAAUCUUGCCUUUUGCACUUACCGCAAAUCCGAUCCUUUCAAGAUCGGCAACUGGAAUUGGUCUGUCUCCUUUGAUUUCUCUUCAUCUUUUUCUUACAAAGAGUCAAAGUUAAUAAUAAAUAACAAAACUAAAUGACUAUAUACCAUGUUUUGAUCAUCCAUUAGUUUCGUUUCUUAUCCUUGGAAUUUGGAUAAACGUCCAUCCAUCAUGGAUGAAAUCCUUUAUGGGGCUUUAAACUUUGGUUUGUUAUUGUUUCUCUUGAGUUGCUAGAAUUUUUUGUUGUUUAUCAUGAUAAAUCUGGAUGAAUAUAAGUUUAUUGGAACACUGUUCUUAUACCUUGCUUUUUAUGUGGAUUGAAGGCAUUUGUCAAUGGAGAAGAACAGGGUAUUGUAUGUUAAAUUAUACCCAGAAAUUUCGAAUCUAACAAGAGACAAUCCCCCAAUUGCAUCCUUCAUCAUCCGAGUUGUAUGCUCAGCAGGGGAUCGAAAGGCUUUCACUCAUCCAGGUACAUCCUGCCUGCUUCAAAACAGAACAAUCACUAGUUAAUAUUUUGAUUAAGCCUGUAUAUUUGUUUUUCAUCUGUAUGACAAUUCAGAUGAUCCACAUGAUGGUGCAAAGUCAUGUCCCUUCUUGUUACUAUUUAGAGAACCUAAUUUCCAAUUCUAUUGUCUCUGAUUGUAGAAAUAAAAGACAAACAGCUGAAGAGCAACGAAGAUUUUGUCUGGCCGAUCGAGGUUCCUUUGACGGGGAAAUUCAUAAUCGACGUUGAAUUUCUUGAUCUAAAAACCGCAUCUCCAAACGUAAGACUCAACCAUCCAAAAGAUAAUAAUAGGAGUAGGAGUUAAUAAUAUCAUACCUAGGUUAAUAAGUUUGGUGUUGACUCACAGGGUGGGGAACCUUGCUCCAUUUGGGCUGAAGGACUCACACAAAAGCAAUCAAAUGCCACAGCUCUUGCAUGCCUUGGUCGGAUGUUAACACAAAGCAUCCACACAGAUAUCAUUAUUAAUGCUUCUAAUGGAAGCAUUGGAGCUCAUCGUGCUGUUCUUUCUGCACGAUCGCCUGUUUUUCACAGCAUGUUUUCACAUAACCUGCAAGAAAAAGAACUGUCAACCAUAAACAUAUCUGACAUGUCAAUUGAAGCUUGUCAGGCUUUGCUAUGUUACAUUUAUGGAAACAUCAAACAUGAAGAAUUCCUGGCUCACCGGCUGGCACUUCUCCGGGCAGCUGAUAAGUAUGAUAUAUCGGAUUUGAAAGAGGCCUGCCACGAGAGUCUCCUAGAAGAUAUUGAUACAAAGAAUGUCCUUGAGAGACUCCAAAAUGCAGCUUUAUACCAAUUGCCAAAACUCAAGUCCAGUUGCAUGCGAUAUCUUGUGAGAUUUGGCAAGAUAUAUGAUAUUCGAGAUGAUUUUAAUGCUUUCCUGCAAUGUGCAGACAGGGAGCUGAUAACUGAUAUAUUCCAUGAAGUUCUAAAUACCUGGAAAGGAUUCUAAGAUGCCACCAAUGAUAAACACCAAUGUGUUUUUAAGUCAGUGGUACUUGUAGCAGCGAUAAAGAUUGUAGCGUGCAAGAUCGUAUUUGUAAAGAUGAUUCUUUUGUUCAGAUGAUAUUCAUUUCUCCAUGUACAUACACAUGUAUGUAUUGGUUCCCUUUGACAAAAACAUUCUAUCCUUGUUAUCAGAGUUUCAGAAAUGCAACAUAAUUUGACUAAAGUUGUUAGAUUUAUACUGAGAUUUAGAUUUUAAAAGGACUAUGUAAUUUGGGAUAUGAUACGGCGCUAUACAUUAUCGCAUGCUGCCACACAACACAAAUAACACUCAAAAUCAUAUAAGCAUGGAUAUAGGCCAUAGAGUCGAUCUGAUUUGAAUUGGUUGAGCACUGGAGCUUGAAUUUAACCAUUGGUUUCUAUUUUCUCGACUAUCUAAUCAAGGACCACUUGAAAGGCUGAUCAAACCGAGGUUGACUAAAAUUGCUACUAAUAAUUUGAGCUUUUGAAUCAAUGCCAAGGCAGAUAAGAGACAAACUGAUAUUAGAUUGUUUCUACCUGUCCUUCAACAUAAAUAUUAAUACAGAUGAAAGAAUCAGUCCGUCUUUAUCUACCAUACAAGGCAAUAAGGCCUACACCUAAACUGAUAAAAAUCAACAAACCAUAAUCAACACAGAAAAGAUGUAAAUAUAUAAUUGCUAAUAGAAUAGAAGGAUUUUAUAUGCUAAAACUGUUAUAGUUCCCAAGUCGAGAUAUAAGAUUUAUUUAUGAAAAAGAUCAAGAGGUACCACAAAUUUAACAGAGUUGAAAACAAUUAGGACGCAAUAAAAAGAUAGAAAUGCCCAUAUGAAACAAUGAAACAAUAUAACAAACACAAACCAAGUAAAAAAGCUGACAUACCGGCUUAGACGAGUCAAUGAGAGGAUUCCAUAUAUCAAGAAACAUCAUAUGCGUAUGAAGGGAAAAAGGAGGAGCUUAAAACUAAGCACAAUCAUCACAUGCAAAGCAGAAAGUAGAGUUUCAACGGUAGAGGUGUAUAUAUACUCACUUGCGGCAACAGUCGAAUAUUCUCCCCAUCAUUGCUUGGAACCUCUGAAGAUGAAGAUGGAGUGAGAGGAUAGCCG